rnacentral:tRNA from 1 species
ACCGGGUUGGCUCAGUUGGUAGAGCAUGAGACCCUUGAUCUCAGGGUUGUGAGUUCAAGCCCCAUGUUGAGUG